rnacentral:misc_RNA from 1 species
UCUCGGCCCCGCCGGCGCCUCUCUUGGCCCCGGCGGCAUCGAGGACCGCUACGCCCUCGACCGCGAGCUCGGCCGCGGCGAGUUCGGCGUCACCUACCUCUGCAUGGACCGAACCACCCGCGAUCUCCUCGCCUGUAAGUCGAUCUCGAAACGCAAGCUCCGCACCGCCAUUGACGUUGAAGACGUCCGCCGUGAGGUCGCUAUCAUGCG